CGGCAAGACGGAAAGACCCCGUGAACCUUUACUAUAGCUUGACACUGAACAUUGAGCCUUGAUGUGUAGGAUAGGUGGGAGGCUUUGAAGCGUGGACGCCAGUCUGCGUGGAGCCAACCUUGAAAUACCACCCUUUAAUGUUUGAUGUUCUAACGUUGGCCCCUUACCGGGGUUGCGGACAGUGUCUGGUGGGUAGUUUGACUGGGGCGGUCUCCUCCCAAAGCGUAACGGAGGAGCACGAAGGUUAGCUAAUCCUGGUCGGACAUCAGGAGGUUAGUGCAAUGGCAUAAGCUAGCUUGACUGCGAGCGUGACGGCGCGAGCAGGUGCGAAAGCAGGUCAUAGUGAUCCGGUGGUUCUGAAUGGAAGGGCCAUCGCUCAACGGAUAAAAGGUACUCCGGGGAUAACAGGCUGAUACCGCCCAAGAGUUCAUAUCGACGGCG
rnacentral:rRNA from 1 species